rnacentral:lncRNA from 1 species
ACAUGGACAGGUGAGAUACAGGUGAGAGACAGGUGAGACAUGGACAGGUGAGACAUGGACAGGUGAGACAGGUGAGACAUGGACAGGUGAGACAGGUGAGACAUGGACAGGUGAGACAGGUGAGACAGGUGAGACAGGUGAGACAUGGACAGGUGAGACAUGGACAGGUGAGACAGGUGAGAUACAGACAGGUGUCAUCACUGCCGGGAUCAGCUCGUGGAGCUGACAGGUGAGAGACAGGUGAGAGACAGGUG